rnacentral:rRNA from 1 species
UACGUAGGGGGGCAAGCGUUGUCCGGAUUUAUUGGGCGUAAAGAGCGUGUAGGCGGCCAUACAGGUCAGCUGUGAAAACCCGAGGCUCAACCUCGGGCCUGCAGUGGGUACGGGCAGACUAGAGUGCGGUAGGGGGAGAUUGGAAUUCCUGGUGUAGCGGUGGAAUGCGCAGAUAUCAGGAGGAACACCAAUGGCGAAGGCAGAUCUCUGGGCCGUAACUGACGCUGAGGAGCGAAAGCAUGGGGAGCGAACAGG